UUGCUUUGGCAGCAAAUUUUGCUAAGAGUGAAGACAGAGAAGAUUAGCCUGGGUCCCCAAGGAAGAACUGAAUACAGAAGGUAUUCCAUAUUUUU
rnacentral:snRNA from 1 species